rnacentral:rRNA from 1 species
GACGAACCGUGCGAACGUUGUUCGGAAUCACUGGGCUUAAAGGGCGCGUAGGCGGGCGGCCAAGUCAGGAGUGAAAUCUUUCGGCUCAACCGGAAAAGUGCUUUUGAUACUGGCCGUCUUGAGGGAGAUAGGGGCAUGUGGAACGUCCGGUGGAGCGGUGAAAUGCGUUGAUAUCGGAAGGAACGCCGGUGGCGAAAGCGACGUGCUGGACCUCUUCUGACGCUGAGGCGCGAAAGCUAGGGUAGCGAACGGG